rnacentral:rRNA from 1 species
CUACGGGAGGCAGCAGUGGGGAAUUUUACGCAAUGGGGGAAACCCUGACGUAGCGACACCGCGUGAACGAAGAAGCCUUUUGGGGUGUAAAGUUCUGUCAGCAGGGACGAAAAAAAUGACGGUACCUGCAGAGGAAGCAUCGGCUAACUACGUGCCAGCAGCCGCGGUAAGACGUAGGAUGCAAGCGUUGUCCGGAUUUAUUGGGCGUAAAGAGUUCGUAGGUGGUUUGUUAAGUCUGAUGUUAAAGACUGGGGCUCAACCUCGGAAAUGCAUUGGAUACUGGCAGACUCGAGUGCAGUAGAGGCAAGUGGAAUUCCAGGUGUAGCGGUGAAAUGCGUAGAUAUCUGGAAGAACACCGGUGGCGCAAGCGACUUGCUGGGCUGUAACUGACGCUGAGGAACGAAAGCUAGGGGAGCAAAUGGGAUUAGAUACCCCAGUAGUCCUAGCCGUAAACGAUGGAUACUAGGCGUAUCGGGUAUCGACCCCUGAUGUGCCGUAGCUAACGCGAUAAGUAUCCCGCCUGAGUAGUACGGCCGCAAGGUUGAAACUCAAAGGAAAUUGACGG